rnacentral:rRNA from 1 species
CCUACGGGCGGCAGCAGUGAGGAAUAUUGGUCAAUGGCCGUAAGGCUGAACCAGCCAAGUCGCGUGAAGGAAGAAGGAUCUAUGGUUUGUAAACUUCUUUUAUAGGGGAAUAAAGGUAUCCACGUGUGGCUAUUUGCAUGUACCCUAUGAAUAAGCAUCGGCUAACUCCGUGCCAGCGGCCGCGGUAAUAGGGGGGAUGCGAGGGUUAUCAGGAUUUAUUGGGUUUAAGGGGUUCGACGGUGGUUUUUUAAGUAAGCGGUAAAAUUUUGGGCCUAAACCAUGAACGUGCGUUGAAAAUGGGGGCCUUGAGUGUGCGAGAGGAAGGCGGAAUGCGUGGUGUAGCGGUGAAAUGCAUAGAUAUCACGCAGAACCCCGAUUGCGAAGGCAGCUUUCCGGGGCCCUACUGACGCUGAGGCACGAAAGUGCGGGGAUCGAACAGGAUUAGAUACCCUUGUAGUC